rnacentral:rRNA from 1 species
AUUGAACGCUGGCGGAAUGCUUUACACAUGCAAGUCGAACGGCAGCGACGGGGGCAACCCUGGUGGCGAGUGGCGAACGGGUGAGUAAUACAUCGGAACGUGCCCAGUCGUGGGGGAUAACUACGCGAAAGCGUAGCUAAUACCGCAUACGAUCUACGGAUGAAAGCGGGGGAUCGCAAGACCUCGCGCGAUUGGAGCGGCCGAUGGCAGAUUAGGUAGUUGGUGAGGUAAAGGCUCACCAAGCCUUCGAUCUGUAGCUGGUCUGAGAGGACGACCAGCACACUGGACUGAGACACGGCCCAGACUCCUACGGGA